CACUGGAGAACUGAUUUCAGUCGGAAGGAGCAAGUCAUCUCUAAGAAGUCGGAGGCCACUGCUCCUGCUGCAGCUUUACUUGCAGCUAUUCUCCUCAGAUAUAUGCAAAGAGAGAGAUCCUGGAGCCAGUUAGGCUGCAUCCAGCAGAGCUGUGGGGUAUCUGGUUGCCAGCAUGUGAGGGAAUAUCUGGGAAUAUAGGGCUUCUUGACUUCCCUGGCCCUGAGGGCAGGCUUUGGUGGAAGAAUCGUCAUAGUGUGUCAAUACUAUUCCAGGGAAAUGAGUCAAAGCAUUGCUCUAAGCUUCUACAAAAGUAAAAGUUAUUACCAAACAAACCACAUUCCAUGGUGCAUAACAGCUAUAACAACACUAUGACCCUGUUACAACAAGGAAGAUAUCAAAAUUCACCAUUUUAGAAUGGAAAACCUACACCAUGAAGAAAAAAGAAGCCAAACUAUACAGUAACCAACAAUGUACUUAGUCCAAUAAAAGAUAUUUAAAAAAAAAAA